rnacentral:tRNA from 1 species
GGGGCUGGAGCUCAGUGGCAGAGUGCUUGCCUCAUAAGCAUGAGGUACUAGGUUCCAUCCUCAGCACUA